rnacentral:rRNA from 1 species
UACGGAGGGGGCUAGCGUUGUUCGGAUUUACUGGGCGUAAAGCGCACGUAGGCGGAUUGUUAAGUCAGGGGUGAAAUCCUGGAGCUCAACUCCAGAACUGCCUCUGAUACUGGCAAUCUUGAGUCCGGAAGAGGUGAGUGGAACUCCUAGUGUAGAGGUGGAAUUCGUAGAUAUUAGGAAGAACACCAGUGGCGAAGGCGGCUCACUGGUCCGGUACUGACGCUGAGGUGCGAAAGCGUGGGGAGCAAACAGG